rnacentral:rRNA from 1 species
UACGUAGGGUGCGAGCGUUAAUCGGAAUUACUGGGCGUAAAGGGUGCGCAGGCGGUUCUGCAAGUCAGGCGUGAAAGCCCCGGGCUUAACCUGGGAAUGGCGCUUGAAACUACAGGACUGGAGUAUGGCAGAGGGAGGUGGAAUUCCACGUGUAGCGGUGAAAUUCGUAGAUAUUCGGAAGAACACCAGUGGCGAAGGCGACUCACUGGACGACUGUUGACGCUGAGGUACGAAAGCGUGGGGAGCAAACAGG